rnacentral:rRNA from 1 species
UACGUAGGUGCCAAGCGUUGUCCGGAUUUACUGGGUUUAAAGGGUGCGUAGGUGGGCAGGUAAGUCAGUGGUGAAAUCUUCGAGCUUAACUCGGAAACUGCCAUUGAUACUAUCUGUCUUGAAUUUCCUGGAGGUAAGCGGAAUAUGUCAUGUAGCGGUGAAAUGCUUAGAUAUGACAUAGAACACCAAUUGCGAAGGCAGCUUACUACGGGAAUAUUGACACUGAGGCACGAAAGCGUGGGGAUCAAACAGG